CUAACUGCUAUUGUGGUUUGCAAAGUCACCCCACCAACGUACGGUCUAUUAACUUUGGAUACUCCAUGACGGUCACCUAUUGCCUGAUAUUCAGAGCUCCUAAGCACAGACUGGUGGAUCCAGAGAACCAGGAAUUCUGGCUGCUCAGAAUCUCUUGACAGUUGGACCAUGUGGAUCUCUGCAGGUAAUGCCAAUUAUAGGGGAGUGUCCCCGGUUUUAGACCAUCCUCCUCUGCAUCUCCCUCAUAUCAGAGAACAUGGGCAUUAAGGCAUCUUCUACAGCAACAUGAGCAUUGAUUGCUUCCAGACCAGAGCAACGGCUGCAGUUACGCUGUCCCGGCUGCCCUGGAGGGAGGUCCUGCUGCUGUGGUG